rnacentral:misc_RNA from 1 species
CGCACCUUGCGCCUUUUGGUAUUCCGAAAGGCAUGCCUGUUUGAGUGUCAUGAAAUCUCAACCCCAUCAGGUUUUUGACCUGAUAGGGCUUGGACUUGGGCGUCUUGCCAGCAAUGGCUUGCCUCAAAUGACUUAGUGGGACUAGCAUCCACAGCCAAGACGUAAUAAGUUUCGCCUGGCUCGGUGCGAGGUCUGCUGAUUAACCCCCCAGACUUUCAAUCUGAUCUCAAAUCAGGUAGGGCUACCCGCUGAACUUAA